rnacentral:misc_RNA from 1 species
UCAUUGACUUGCUCUGCAUGGUAGGCUCCCUGCACGUAUGUGCGGCCAACUAUCAUGGGGCUUGUCUUUUCAAUAACCCUUUGAUAAGCAUUAUUGCUAUAUCUUAGGAUGUUUUCUUUUGGUGGCCUGUUUUGUUCUACCCUUGUUGGUAGUUUGAUUGACCUGUUUUGUGUCUCUAGCUUGCUUUGUUGAUGUUAUUCAUCAACGGGCAGUUGAGGUGUUAGCAAAUCCCAUGUGUUGCCCAUGCUCUUGUGCCUUGGUGUUGCAUUUGGAUGUUUGCUGGUUCUCACGGAUAUUGUGCCUAUUGUGAGUUCUAUGGGCUUCAUGCUUGUAGACUUUGUGUGGUUGCCCUUGCACUAAUCAUUGCUGCUAAGGUGUCUCAGACAUGUUGUCGUUUCCACGCCAUGCAUGGAGGCCUCUAAUAAUACGCGACGUGAUUAGUGCUUGUGGCGUGCCUCUUCGAUCAAUUAAUUGACUAGCGAUUGCUUGUUUGUGUUGUCAUAAGG